rnacentral:rRNA from 1 species
UACAGAGGGCUCAAGCGUUGUUCGGAUUCAUUGGGCGUAAAGGGUGCGUAGGCGGCUCGGUAAGUCGGGUGUGAAAUCUUGGAGCUUAACUCCGAAACUGCAUUCGAUACUGCCGUGCUUGAGGACUGGAGAGGAGACUGGAAUUUACGGUGUAGCGGUGAAAUGCGUAGAUAUCGUAAGGAAGACCAGUGGCGAAGGCGGGUCUCUGGACAGUUCCUGACGCUGAGGCACGAAGGCCAGGGGAGCAAACGGG